GAUGAACGCUAGCGGCAGGCCUAAUACAUGCAAGUCGAACGGUAACAUGAGUAGCAAUACUUGAUGACGAGUGGCGCACGGGUGCGUAACGCGUAUGCAACCUACCUUUAACCGGGACACAACAUCGAGAAAUCGGUGCUAAUAUCCCAUAACAUCUCGAAGAGGCAUCUCUUUGGGAUUAAAGCUCCGGCGGUUUUAGAUGGGCAUGCGUGACAUUAGCUAGUUGGUGAGGUAACGGCUCACCAAGGCUGCGAUGUCUAGGGGUUCUGAGAGGACAUUCCCCCACACUGGUACUGAGACACGGACCAGACUCCUACGGGAGGCAG
rnacentral:rRNA from 1 species